AUUUAAGUUUAGUUGCAUUCCAGCAACGUUUGCGCUCAUUUCUCAAAAACUAUUCUAAAUAGAACGCAAACAGUUGAAUUUCGUGUCGCUUAGAGAUUUUCAAGUUUCCUUCGCACUUACAUAUAUACAUUGCGCUACAUAGUCGUGUUCCUAGUUUUAUAUCCUGCGUCUUUGCCUUUAUCAACUUUCGGUUUCGCGCCAUAUCGUCGAUCGUUGAACGUCGCUGAUCUCGCAGUUCAUUCCAAUAAGAAAAAAGUUACGAAUUUUUUUAAAUUUUACUCAACGUGAAACUUUUUUCAAAAAAACCAGCAGCAUGUCAUCACGUGUCUUGGAAGACUCACCAAAUGCUCAACUCGAUAAGACCAUUUUGGAACGUUAUCGCAAUUUGCCAUUGAAGGAGAACAUUGUACAAGCCACAUAUGUAUGGAUCGAUGGCACUGGUCAAGAUCUGCGUUGUAAGGAUCGUACGUUAGAUUUCAUACCCAAUGAUCCAAAAGAACUACCGAUUUGGAAUUACGAUGGCAGUUCCUGUUACCAAGCUGAGGGUUCCAAUUCGGACACCUACCUAUAUCCGGUGGCCAUUUACAAGGAUCCUUUCCGACGCGGUAACAGUAUUUUGGUAAUGUGCGACACCUAUCGCUUCGAUGGCGAACCCACUGCUUCCAAUCAUCGCAAGACUUGUCUGGAAGUGGUGAAUAAAUGCAAGAAUGAAGAGCCAUGGUUUGGUAUUGAGCAAGAAUAUACAUUCCUCGAUUUCGAUGGACAUCCAUUGGGUUGGCCCAAGAAUGGCUUCCCAGGACCACAAGGACCCUACUAUUGCGGUGUGGGCGCUAAUAAGGUCUAUGCACGUGAUGUUGUCGACGCACACUAUCGCGCCUGUUUGUAUGCGGGCAUCAAAGUGUCUGGAACAAAUGCUGAAGUAAUGCCGGCACAAUGGGAAUAUCAGGUCGGUCCCUGCUUGGGCAUUUCAGUUGGUGAUGAUUUGUGGAUGUCACGCUUCCUUUUGCAUCGUAUUUCUGAGGAGUUUGGUAUUGUUGCCACUUUGGACCCCAAACCCAUGCCUGGUGAUUGGAAUGGCGCAGGCGCACAUACCAAUGUUUCUACAAAGCGCAUGCGCGAGGAUGGCGGUAUUAAAGAUAUUCUUGCUGCAGUUGAAAAACUCUCCAAGCACCAUGAACGUCACAUUCGCGCCUACGAUCCGAAACAGGGUCAGGAUAAUGCGCGUCGUCUGACAGGUCAACAUGAGACCAGCUCAAUCAAUGAUUUCAGUGCCGGCGUUGCCAAUCGUGGCUGCUCCAUUCGCAUACCGCGUGGUGUGAAUGAUGACGGCAAGGGUUAUUUCGAGGAUCGUCGUCCCAGCUCCAAUUGUGAUCCCUACUCGGUGGUAGAGGCUAUUCUACGUACAAUUUGCCUGGAUGAAUAGAUGGCGCGCGAUCAACCAGCAUUUUUUUUUUGGAGACAAUUGGCUAAACGUUUCUUGACGCAGGCGCGUAGUGAGUCAGAGUACAUACCAGCAAAGUGAAACGAAACCAAAGGCAGCGAAUGAACUUGACAAUAAAAUAUUCAUUAAGUUUUAAGCAACAAUAAGAAAACUUUAUACUUGGUAAAUUGGAGAAAAAUGCGUCGUCAGUUUUAAAAGUAAAAGCGCAUUUACCCACGGACUUAAAAACGGAGAACAUGUCAGCUGACGCGGUCAAUCUUAUGGGAUCUGCGUGUUAACAAGACGUUGCUUCUCUCUCUCUGUAUCAACAGCAAACUUGAUAUGUUUCUACGCACUUCUUUGCUACGCUGCGUAUACGCUACGUGGGUAACCGCGCUCUAAAUAUUUUUUUUUUUUUUUUGGUUUAUAUAAGAAAAGCUAAGAAAGCAAAUCCUGCGAUUUUUGGCUUUGGCCACCAAUUAUUUCUUGUUAUUUUUUUUUGUAUUUGUUGCAUAAUUUUAUUUAAAUUUCCCAUUUGUUGUAAGAGAAUUUAUUAAUUGCUUUCAGGCAAGCCAUUUGUUAUGCUCAUAUUCAAACAUACUUACCUGUAUGUGUAAUAUAACUAAAAUGAUACAAGUGCACUUGUGUAGCUUCAUACGUUAGAAUACAGUGGAAUAUAGUAUGUAAAAGUAAAUGAAGCUAUACAACUUUAUGAUAUCCCCUUUAUGACAAAAGUAUUGUUAUCUGCAACACAGUUAUGCACAAGUUCAAACAUGUACAAUAUUUACCGAUUUCAAGUAGUCACUCUACAAAUCGCUAUUUAAUUUAAAAAAUUAUUAUAUACAUAUCGGUGUUCGUAUGGAACAGUAACUUAUGGCGUAAGGCUGGUUUUUGUAUAAUGGGUAAUAAACGCGCAGAAAUAGUUCCGAUACUGGCAAUUCAAUAUCCUUUUUAAGUCUCAUCAAAAAAGACCUUGUCGUUUAAAGAAUAAAGGGAAUGCCGCAUUAUACUAAAGCCAACUUCCCGGCAUAAGCUACUAUUCCAUACGAACACAGACAAAUGCUACAAACGCAAUGAAAGACAAAUGUUUAAGGUAAAAAGCUUUAGAUAAUUAAUAACAAAAAACACGAAGAAAACUGAAUUGAAUAGCUAAAAAAUAUUAUAGUAGACAAUUAAGAGCCUAUGUGUAUAUAAUCACAUAAAUAUAUAUAUACAUAUGUAUACACAUGCAUAUAUAUGAAUGAAUACGUAAAACAAAGCAACGAGAUUUCAUCUAAUCAAUUGUAGUAUAAUCUAUAUUACAAAAGCUAAAUAUGUACGUACGUAUAACGAAUACUAAACAGUAUAAUAUUAUUGAUAAAUAAAAACUAUUUAGAUGUACUA
rnacentral:misc_RNA from 1 species